GGAAAGGUGGCUGAGCGGCCGAAGGCACGUCCCUGCUAAGGACGCGUAUCCGCAAGGGUACCGAGGGUUCGAAUCCCUCCCUUUCCGCCA
rnacentral:tRNA from 1 species